rnacentral:pre_miRNA from 1 species
GGAGGGAGGGCCGGAUCUUGAGCUGUGUCCCCAGCGCCCUGUGCUCCCGGUCUGCACUGUAGGAUUCGCGCUCCCGGCUGCUCAGCCCCCU